UGGGGAAUAUUGGACAAUGGGCGAAAGCCUGAUCCAGCCAUGCCGCGUGUGUGAAGAAGGUCUUCGGAUUGUAAAGCACUUUAAGUUGGGAGGAAGGGCAGUUACCUAAUACGUGAUUGUUUUGACGUUACCGACAGAAUAAGCACCGGCUAACUCUGUGCCAGCAGCCGCGGUAAUACAGAGGGUGCAAGCGUUAAUCGGAAUUACUGGGCGUAAAGCGCGCGUAGGUGGUUAGUUAAGUUGGAUGUGAAAUCCCCGGGCUCAACCUGGGAACUGCAUUCAAAACUGACUGACUAGAGUAUGGUAGAGGGUGGUGGAAUUUCCUGUGUAGCGGUGAAAUGCGUAGAUAUAGGAAGGAACACCAGUGGCGAAGGCGACCACCUGGUUGGAUACUGACGCUGAGACGCGAAAGCGUGGGGAGCAAACAGGAUUAGAUACCCAUGUAGUCCCUGAGCGGGCUGGCAAGGCGCAU
rnacentral:rRNA from 1 species